AGCAAUGAUACAGAAAGUAGUAAAAGUUGUACACGGUUUCUACUGAAUCUUCAUGACACGUGUACUUUAAGCAAACACGUGUACUUGAAAUAUAGUGUAACUCUUUCCUCUCACUGAACUUCUUCACUAAUUUACCCGUCUCUUCGCCGCCUUCUCUGCUUCUCUUCUGUCUCUCUCUCACUGAACUCCUUUACCAGUUUAUUGUCUUCUAACUUGAUCCCUUUCUUUGUUCGGUGAUCUUUCCAAUGGAGUUUUUGCAGUGUUUUACAUGAAUAAUAAGUUGUGCUGUCUUCAAAAGCAUGGUCUGCUUGAUAGUGAACUGCAGACAGCUCAUUUUAAGAGAGUAUCUGGAGCACAUGAAAAAGCAGCAUCAGACUGGAAAUAGAGUUGUCCCAUGGCUUCUAAGUACUUUAAUUUUAUAUGGAAAAUUGGUGUAAUGUUGGUAAGUGAAGUAGGGCCUGUUUUUGUUGGAGGUAGGAUUGAGUAUUCCUUCAAUAUUGAUUCUGAUCACUUAUCUAUCCCUGAAUUAGUAGAUAUUGCAAAGGAUUUUGGGGUUACUAAAUUGGGAACCACUUAUAUUGCACCUUCUAAGGGUGGCAAAUUGGUAAAACUAGAGAAAGACAAGAAUUUGUUAGACCUUGGAGUAUUGUUGAAUGAUGGGGACACAAUAGAUAUAUUUAUCUGCAAUGACUCUAAUUUUGAGGAUGUGGGGCAUGUUGGCCAACAUGUGAAUGUUGAAAAGGGAGGUGGUAGUCAAUUAACUAAUAUAAAUGGGGGCAGCAGGGAAUCUGAGCCUUUAUUUAUUCCACACCCACCAAUAAUUGCACCAGCUCCAACUAUAGAUCUAGAUCUAGAGUUUCCUUCUUCUCUAAAUACUUCUGAAAGGGCUGGAUAAAAUAUAAGAGAGGAAGUAGAUGCUGCCAGUGGUGAUUUCCAGAGAGAAGGUUCUGCUAGUGGAGAUCUAAAUAAUUCCAGUACUUCCUCUGAAGAAGAUGCAGGCACUGAAGAAGAAUUUGAACUUUCUGAUGAUUAUGGAAGUGAUGUCCAUGAAGAACUUAGGGUUGUGAAACAAGAUCUAAAGGCUUACAAAGUAAAAAAAGGGAAAAAAAGUAGGAAAGAAAGACCUGAUGGGUUUCUAGGUGAGGUUGGAUUGGAUGAAGGUUAUGAUGAUAUUGAUAAAGAAAGAAAAAAUCUGAAGGAUAAAUUGGGAGGUGAUGAUGAUGAGCCAUAUUACGACUCAUCAGAGGCUGACAGCUUUGCUAGUGAAUCUGAAGGUGAAGCUGUCAGUGAUGAUGAAGUAGUAGAAGAAAACUUGAGGGUAAGGAGAAAGAGUAACGGAGUAGUAUAUGAUCCUUCUUGUGAGAAAGUUAUUUGGGAGAUUAAGUAUUUGAAAAUGUGAAAGAGAUCAGAGAGGCUUUGACCAAGUAUGCUGUAAAGAAAGGGGUUCAACUAGACAAAUAUAAGAAUGAGCCAAGUAGAGUUAGGGUGAAGUGCAAAGAUGGUUGUCCUUGGAUGAUAUAUGCUAGCAAGGAAGGUAGGAGUUCAAAUUUCACAGUCAAGACAUAUAAUCCUAGACAUAAAUGCCAUAAGACCAACAUCAACUUUCUUUGCAAUUCAAAAUAUUUAGCUAAUCAUUAUAAAGAGAGGAUUAUUUCACAACCUACCAUUAAAGGAUGGGAAAUACAAGAUCUUGUUAGGGAGGACUUUGGUGUGUAUGUGGGUAAGGCUAUUUGUUUAAAGACAAGAAAAAUUGUUUUGAAAGAAGUCAUGGGAGAUCAUAUUGCUGAGUUUGGUAGACUUUUUGACUAUAGAGAUGUGCUUCUACAAACAAAUCCUGGUAGCACAUGUAUAGUUAAGGUAGCUGAUUUAGAAGAUGGUAAGAAAGAGUUUAUAAGCUUCUAUAUAUGCUUUGCUGCUAUGAAGAGGGGAUUCUUGGAGGGAUGCAGAAAGUGUAUAGGACUGGAUGGCUGAUUUUUGAAGGGGAUAUACAAAGGACAAUUAUUAGUUGCAGUUGCUAAAGAUGGAAACAAUCAAAUGUUUCCCAUAGCAUGGGCCGUUAUUGGGACUGAAAAUAAGGAAACAUGGACAUGGUUUAUGAGGAUAUUGCAAGAGGACUUACAGCUUGGAGAUGGAAAUGAGAUCACUAUUAUCAGUGAUAUGCAAAAGGGUUUGGUUAGUGCUGCUGAAGAAGUAUUUCCAGCUUGUGAGCACAGAAUGUGUGCAAGACAUAUUCUGUCAAACUGGUCAAAGAAAUGGAGGGGAAUUGAGAGAAGGAAGAAGUUUUGGAGUUGUGCUAGAGCAACAUAUGAGGCCGAAUUGAAAAAGAGGCUAGAUGAAUUAAAUACAUUGGGUCACAAUAUUGUUGAAGAUCUUAUUUCAUACAACAAAGAAAGAUGGUGCAAAGUCUACUUCAAAGAAUUCUCCAAAUGUGACAGUGUGGACAAUAAUAUAUCGGAAAGCUUUAAUGCCUGGAUAUUGGGAGCUAGACAUAAGACAAUUGUGUCAAUGCUAGAAGAAAUUAGAGUCAAGGUCAUGAUAAGGAUACCUAAGAUGAGGGACUUUGCUGAAACUUGGGUGGAUGAGAUAUCUCCAAUGGCACUGAAGAACUUCAACACUAAUGUGGAGAAGUCAAUGAAGUGUAAGAUUCAUUGGAAUGGAGAACAUGGCUUUGAAAUUAAGGAAGGUAUAGCUACGUUUAUUGUUCACCUGAAAAGAGGAUAUUGUAGUUGCAGUUCAUGGCAAUUGAAAGGUAUUCCUUGUGCAUAUGCCAUAACAGCAAUGCAGUUUAGAAUGAUUGAUGCAUCUGAGUCAAUUGCAUCAUGGUAAAGAGACAUAUUUACGAGCUUAUUCCAAUUUCAUACAACCUGUUCCCAAUAUAAUAAUGUGGCCAGCUACAUCAAAUCCAAAGAUUGAGCCACCUACAGUUAGAAAAAUGCCUGGCAGGCCAAAGAAGAAUAGAAGAAAGGAGGAAGGAGAAAUUAAAAGAGCUGAAAAGUUAUCAAAACGGGGAAUAACUAUUACAUGCUCGAUUUGCAAGUCCAUUAAACACAAUAAAAGAAAAUGUCCUUCAAGGCCUGAAGCAACAUCAGCCACAAGAACAGCAGAGUAUAAUGCUACCCAACAGUCAUCUACUGGAAGUACAAGAAAGAGAAGUGUUGUUGACAGUCAACAAGAAUCUACAAGCAAGGAAGGUGAAGCUAGAGCGAGCAGACGUAAGUACAAGAGUCCAAGAGUUGUGGGGCAUGGUGUAUUUGUAUCUAAGACUGGUUAUAGUUGUGUUAAUCAAGGUCUGCAAAGCAGCAGAUUAGUUACCACACCUACAAUGAUAAAUUCCGCAGAAGUUACAGGUGAUAUUGGGUAUAAGACUAGCAAGUCUUUGAAGUGGAAAGGAAAGCCCGCUAUUAGCCAAAGACAACUCCAAAUGAAAAGUACUAUGCAUAGAGUCCAGAAAAAAGCAAAGGCUAUUAAGAUUCAAGCAAGAUCUCAAACUGGAAAAUCUCCGUCCAAAGAACCAACAUAGCUAUGUUCUAUGAUUAAGUUAGUUUUUUUGGUGUAUGCUUAGUAUGUAAUCAGAUGAUUACAACUUUCUUUGUGGUAGUAUUUUUGUGUAGCUUUUUUGGGUGAAACAACUCUUUUGUGAUACUCGUAGUAUUUUGUGUAGCUGUUCGAUACUAGUAGUAUUUUGUGUAGCUGUCAGAUAUGUUUGGUAAAAUAGCUCUUUUGUAUACUGUCAAGAUUUUUGUUGCUAUCCAGUUUUGUAAACAGCGUGUA